rnacentral:lncRNA from 1 species
AAACAGCUGUCCAGGCCAACAGAGAAGAGGACUGGCCCACCCAAGAUCCUGCUAAUCCUCAUGGGGACUACAUUCUGAUCUGGGGUUUGGCGAAGAGCUGAAAGGAUUUCACCCUGAUGUGCACACUACUGAGUGACCCGCUCACCAGCGGCUCCGCUGAUUGCUUUGCACCUUGCAGACCUGCGAUUGGCUCAGCCUCUCUGCCGGCUCGCCUCCCUCCCUGGUCCCCAGCCCUCCCUGCCUGGCUUUUUCUUGAAGCAAGAAGAAAGGAGACCUAAUGGAGGAGUCACAAGUAGGGAGACGCCCCGAGCAAGCGGAACCAGCCGUGCCGGGAGUGGGAGCCCGAGCCUGAACCGGAGCUGACGCCUGAGCGAGCGCUGGAGCAGGCGGUGGAGCCUGGGGUGGAGCCGCGCGGAGCUCAGCCUGCGGAGGAGGGCGGACCCCAACCGGAGUGGAAGCCCGGGCAGGACCAGCGUGUGGUCCCAGAAUGGGGUCUGAUGGAAGGUGGGAGGAGAGCGGGGCGCGAGAGCCUGGGAUGCGGGCCAGGAGUCGCUCCCACAUCCUUCAUCCGCCAGGCCAGCCCAGAGCUAGGCCCGCCCUGGAGGGAGGGCUGGGCUAGACCUUCAGAGGCUGGAAACCUUGGACGGGCUCUCCAGUGGACCCCACCCCGCCCCCCAUUGUAUAAUUCAGUGCGAAACCGGACGAUAAAUGUGAGGAGUUUUAAUUUUUCCCGU